CACGGGGAACACACAGCAAUGAGGUCAUCAUUAACACGGGGAACACACAGCGAUGAGGUCAUCAUUAACAUGGGUAACACACAGCGAUGAGGUCAUCUUUAACACGGGGAACACACAGCGAUGAGGUCAUCUUUAACAUGGGGAAUACACAGCGAUGAGGUCAUCUUUAACACCGGGAACACACAGCGAUGAGGUCAUCAUUAACACGGGGAACACACAGCGAUGAGGUCAUCUGUAACAUGGGUUAGCGUUACUAACCAUAAAACAAUAACUCGACCGAAUGAUGCAAUGAUGUCAUGCGCCAUUAAAGAGGA
ensembl:lncRNA